rnacentral:rRNA from 1 species
GGGGGGGGGGGGGGGGGGGGGGGGCGCGUGGGGGUCGGGCGGUGGCAGGCCGCCAGGUGCUGCCGAGUGGCGCACGGGUGCGGAAUUCCUCGUGACGUGCCCCGUCGUUGUGGCUACCUCCUCGACAGCGUCGCUACUACCGCCUACGCUCUCUGUCUGACAGCGGGGGCCCGUGAGGCCUCGCUCGAUUGUAGCCGCCGCUGUCAGCUUCGGUCGUUGGUGGGGUAAAUGCCCACCAAGCCAACGCGCUGUCACUGGUCUGAGGGGACGACCAGCCACACUGGGACUGAGACACGGCCCAGACUCCUACGGGAGGCAGCAGUGGGGAAUUUUGGACAAUGGGCGCAAGCCUGAUACAGCAAUGCCGCGUGCAGGAAGAAGGCCUUCGGGUUGUAAACUGCUUUUGUACGGAACGAAACGGCUCUGGUUAAUACCCGGGGCUAAUGACGGUACCGUAAGAAUAAGCACCGGCUAACUACGUG